AACCAACAGGGAUUGCCCUAGUAACGGCGAGUGAAGCGGCAACAGCUCAAAUUUGAAAUCUGGCUCUUUUAGGGUCCGAGUUGUAAUUUGCAGAGGGCGCUUUGGCGUUGGCAGCGGUCCAAGUUCUUUGGAACAGGACGUCACAGAGGGUGAGAAUCCCGUACGUGGUCGCUAGCCUUCGCCGUGUAAAGCCCCUUCGACGAGUCGAGUUGUUUGGGAAUGCAGCUCUAAAUGGGAGGUAAAUUUCUUCUAAAGCUAAAUACUGGCCAGAGACCGAUAGCGCACAAGUAGAGUGAUCGAAAGAUGAAAAGCACUUUGGAAAGAGAGUCAAAUAGCACGUGAAAUUGUUGAAAGGGAAGCGCUUGCAGCCAGACUUGCCUGUAGUUGCUUAUCCGGACUUUUGUCCGGUGCACUCUUCUGCGGGCAGGCCAGCAUCAGUUUAGGCGGUUGGAUAAAGGUCUCUAUCACGUACCUCCCUUCGGGGUUGGCCUUAUAGGGGAGACGACAUGCAACCAGCCUGAACUGAGGUCCGCGCAUCUGCUAGGAUGCUGGCGUAAUGGCUGUAAGCGGCCCGUCUUGAAACACGGACCAAGGAGUCUAACAUCUAUGCGAGUGUUUGGGUGUCAAGCCCAGACGCGUAAUGAAAGUGAACGGAGGUGGGAACCUUUUAGGUGCACCAUCGACCGAUCCUGAUGUCUUCGGAUGGAUUUGAGUAAGAGCAUGGCUGUUGGGACCCGAAAGAUGGUGAACUAUGCUUGAAUAGGGUGAAGCCAGAGGAAACUCUGGUGGAGGCUCGCAGCGGUUCUGACGUGCAAAUCGAUCGUCAAAUUUGGGCAUAGGG
rnacentral:rRNA from 1 species